rnacentral:rRNA from 1 species
UCCCCUGUUUUUACAAAAACAUAGUUUAAGGAAAUAAUCUUAAAUGAAUUCUGCCCAGUGAUUUUUUUUUAAAUGGCCGCAGUACCUUGACUGUGCUAAGGUAGCAUAAUCAAUUGGCUUCUAAUUAAAGUCUGGAAUGAAAGGAAAUAUGAAGUAAUUCUAUCUUAAAGGAUUUUUUUUGAAUUUAUUUAAAUGAUGAAAAUAUCAUUUUAUAGAAAAAAGACGAGAAGACCCUUAGAGUUUUGAUAUUUAUAUAUUUUUGUUGGGGCGACAGGUAAACAUAUAACUUUACGAAUUAUCAUUGAUCGAUUUUUUAUAAGAAUAAUAAAACUACCUUAGGGAUAACAGCAUUAUAUUUUUUUUUAUGAUUGUGACCUCGAUGUUGGACUAGGAACUUUAUGGCUAGCCGUCAAAAAAGAUUGCUCGCCUUACAA